AGAGUUUGACAUGGCUCAGGACGAACGCUGGCGGCGUGCUUAACACAUGCAAGUCGAGCGGAAAGGCCACUUCGGUGGUACUCGAGCGGCGAACGGGUGAGUAACACGUGAGUAAUCUGCCCCUGGCUUUGGGAUAGCCACCGGAAACGGUGAUUAAUACCGGAUACGACAACUUCUCGCAUGGGAUGGUUGUGGAAAGUUUUUCGGCCAGGGAUGUGCUCGCGGCCUAUCAGCUUGAUGGUGAGGUAAUGGCUCACCAUGGCUUCGACGGGUAGCCGGCCUGAGAGGGUGACCGGCCACACUGGGACUGAGACACGGCCCAGACUCCUACGGGAGGCAGCAGUGGGGAAUAUUGGACAAUGGGCGGAAGCCUGAUCCAGCAACGCCGCGUGAGGGAUGACGGCCUUCGGGUUGUAAACCUCUUUCGGUGGGGACGAAGCGCAAGUGACGGUACCCACUAAAGAAGCACCGGCCAACUACGUGCCAGCAGCCGCGGUAAUACGUAGGGUGCGAGCGUUGUCCGGAAUUAUUGGGCAUAAAGGGCUCGUAGGCGGUUUGUCGCGUCGGGAGUGAAAACCAGGUGCUUAACACCUGGCUUGCUUUCGAUACGGGCAGACUAGAGGUAUUCAGGGGAGAACGGAAUUCCUGGUGUAGCGGUGAAAUGCGCAGAUAUCAGGAGGAACACCGGUGGCGAAGGCGGUUCUCUGGGAAUGACCUGACGCUGAGGAGCGAAAGUGUGGGGAGCGAACAGGAUUAGAUACCCUGGUAGUCCACACCGUAAACGUUGGGCGCUAGGUGUGGGGUCCAUUCCACGGAUUCCGUGCCGCAGCUAACGCAUUAAGCGCCCCGCCUGGGGAGUACGGCCGCAAGGCUAAAACUCAAGGAUUGACGG
rnacentral:rRNA from 1 species